UUGCUUCCUUUGAAUUGCUCCAGGAUGCGGUGGAAUGUACUUCCGAGUAACCAAGAGAUCAAGAAGAUCGAAAGAGAGGGAUGGAGUAAUGAGCCCUUCUCAUCCCCGCAUGCAUCCUUCCCUCUUCUCAAGUGUGUAGAUUCAGAGUGAGGGAGGAAAGCAGUGAUUGAAGUCCACGCAUGCUCUAAUUCAUCUGAAUUUUCAACUGGUUUGAGGAUUAGCUUGAUAGACACUAAGGUUUCAUUAACAUAUCAGUAAAUAAAACCCUAGAAAUUUUUUUUGAAUCUGUUACCUAGGCAUGAUCUCACAAGAGAGCAAUGUAGGCCUGUUAAAUUUAUGAUGCUCUUACUAUGAGAAAUCCAUCUUUGAGCCUCUUCUAUCUUUAA